rnacentral:lncRNA from 1 species
UUGAUUUCUACCAUGGGCAAUCAGGGCCCACAGGCCUUCCCUCCUCAAGUCCUGUCUGCCCCAGAUCCUGGUCUGCAGCCUUCCUUGGGCAGGAUCAGCUGUCUCAGUCCUGUGUCCCCAGCUUUCUCACCGUUCCUUCUCUCAGGAGGCAGCUCUCUCUUUGCCUUACCCACCUAGAAGGCUUGCUCUCUGGCCCUGUCUCUUCUCCCCGUGCUGGCACUCGAGUCUCUGAUGCUCUCUUGAUUUCCUAUUCUGACCUGACUUCUAUCUGUCUGGCUUUUUCCCUCAGGGAACUUGGUCUAGAAGACGCAGGAGGUCAUGUGAGAACAUGAGCAUCCUAGCCCAAGUGGUUGGACAGGCUUUCACCCGUUGAUUCCUGGCCCUGUCUUCCCAGAAGGCGUGCCCUAGAUAUGCUGCUGAGUCCCCGGCAGCCUGUGCUCUUGUCCUGUCCCAGCUUGCCUGUGAGCAAUGUGUACAAUGUCCAUGUGCCUCUGGAAGACACCACCUUCUGUCAGUGCACCUCUUGUGACCUUAGCCGCUGUGCUGUGUGUCCUUCAUUCAGUGUCAGGUGGGGGAGUUGAACCCUGUUAUCAACACAGGCAUUUGGGCCAACUCCAAAUGGCCCCUGCCUGUGUGAUGUGUCUCCAGUUGGGCUGAGCCCUUACAAUUGCCAAGGUGCUAGUGGGUCCCAAUGGGGUCUAUGCUGGAGGGUUAGAGAUGGGAGAUUCUCAAGGCUGAGACCUUGCCAUCCCUCCUUCUCCAUGUGUGGCGCUGGGCUUGCUUUUUCUUGGUAGAGGUUGAACUGGAGCUUGGCACCCUCCUACAGGGUGGCAUUAGAGAACUUGGUGCUCAAUUGCUCUCUAUUGCUCUUCCUCACACCAGAUGGUACCUACGCCAGGAACCUUUGGAGAGCGCUUAAGCAUGGGUGCAAAGCCUCCUUUCUUUUAUGAGAGGAAUUGACUUGAAGUGAGGGGUUCCAGCCUCAAAGAGCAGCUCUGGGUGCUGGUGUUCCUGGGCUGUGUGAAGGGAAACCACACCUGAUCUGGGUGCCUUGGAGGAGUUGACCUCCUGUCCCAUCAGGAGGAUGAGGAGAGCGCGUGCCCAGGGCUGGGAGAAGAGUGCCCGUUGUCUCGCAUGGGAUCUCCCAAUUUUCAGGUUUUAGGAUGGUCACAAUGAAAACCUGUGGGUUUGAGGUGGCUGUUCAGGCAGCACAGAAACGAGGAGGACAUGACUGUGCGAGUGCAUGUGCUGGUGCGUGUGGGAAAGGGUCAGUCCUGGUUUUAUUUAAAUAAAAUAGUUUAUGU